GGUCAAGUUAUUAAGGGUGCAGGGCGGAUGCCUUGGCACUAGGAGCCGAUGAAGGACGUGAUAAGCUGCGAUAAGCUUCGGGGAGUUGCACGUAAACUUUGAUCCGAAGAUUUCCGAAUGAGGAAACUCACUUAGAGUAAUGUCUAAGUAUCAUUAAGUGAAUACAUAGCUUAAUGAGGGGAACUCAGGGAACUGAAACAUCUAAGUACCUGAAGGAAGAGAAAGAAAUUCGAUUCCGUAAGUAGCGGCGAGCGAACGCGGAUUAGCCCAAACCAAUAAAGUUUUCUUUAUUGGGGUUGCGGACAUAUCAUAACGAAGAGGUAUCGUAAUUGAAGAGGUUUGGAAAGACCCACCACAGAAGGUAAUAGUCCUGUAUGUUAAACGAGAAGACUUUAGAUAUGAUCCAGAGUACCACGGGACACGUGAAACCCUGUGGGAAGCAGGAGGGACCACCCUCCAAGGCUAAAUACUACCUAGUGACCGAUAGCGUAUAGUACCGUGAGGGAAAGGUGAAAAGAACCCCGGGAGGGGAGUGAAAUAGAACCUGAAACCCUGCACUUACAAGCUGUGGAAGCACAUUUCUUGUGUGACCGCGUACUUUUUGUAGAACGGGCCAACGAGUUACGUUAAGUAGCAAGGUUAAGCACUUAAGGUGCGGAGCCGUAGCGAAAGCGAGUUUUAACUGAGCGUUCAGUUACUUGACGUAGACCCGAAACCGGGCGACCUACCCAUGAGCAGGAUGAAGCGAAAGUAAAAUUUCGUGGAGGUCCGAACCCACGAGCGUUGAAAAGCUCGGGGAUGACUUGUGGGUAGCGGUGAAAUUCCAAUCGAGCCCGGAGAUAGCUGGUUCUCCCCGAAAUAGCUUUAGGGCUAGCCUCAAGGUGAGAGAUACGGAGGUAGAGCACUGAAUGUCCUAGGGGGUAUUGCACCUACCGAAGACUAUCAAACUCCGAAUGCCGUCAUCUUAUACUUGGGAGUCAGACUGUGGGUGAUAAGAUUCAUAGUCGAAAGGGCAACAGCCCAGAUCGUCAGCUAAGGUCCCUAAAUGUAAGUUAAGUGGUAAAGGAUGUGGGAUUGCACAGACAACCAGGAUGUUGGCUUAGAAGCAGCCACUCAUUCAAAGAGUGCGUAAUAGCUCACUGGUCGAGUGAUCCUGCGCCGAAGAUUUCCGGGGCUAAAACUUACUACCGAAGCUACGGCAUCAGUAAUGAUGGGUAGGGGAGCUUCCCAUACGGGUUGAAGCAUGACCGUAAGGACAUGUGGACAGUAUGGGAGUGAGAAUGUUGGCAUGAGUAGCGAGAUGUGGGUGAGAAUCCCACAGGCCGUAAACCCAAGGUUUCCAGGGGAAGGUUCGUCCGCCCUGGGUUAGUCGGGACCUAAGCUGAGGCCGAAAGGCGUAGGUGAUGGACAACAGGUUGA
rnacentral:rRNA from 1 species